UAGCUGGUGGCCUUUUCUGAAGCAGGAACAAAAUUAGGUGAUUCAAUUAAUAGCCAUCUUUAUGUUUCAAGGAUUACAGCGCUUGGGCUACAUUAUGGGGAAAGACAGACAAGAGGAACAGUGAAGCAAAUAAAAAUGUGGGCAUGGCACAGUUUUCAGGGAAAUGCUAAAUAAGAAGUCAGCAGCACCUGGUUUAAUGGCUUUCACUGCUGCGCGUUCCAGUACCUAUUCUCAUACCAACGGUCCUGUGAUUGCUUUUGAGUUCUUGCUAUGAUGAUUUCCACUCAAAGUCUGAAGACAUACUGGUGGGUUGUCCCUGUGUGAGUGUGGACAUGUUGGUGUUUGGGUCUGUCCACCCUGCACUGGACUGGUGUUCUGUCCAGGGUGUAUCCUGCCUUGCGCCCAUUGUUUGCCAGUAAAUAUUCCGGUUCCACCGUGACCCUGAUUUGGAGGAAGCAGAUAGAAAAUGGAUGGUUUCAGAGAUGGAUUUUUGAGUGGAAGCCCUCAUUUUCCAAGUUUAUAUCACCUAUAUCUAUUGGGAAAUUACCCAAAAAAAGACACUGUAAUAGAUAAAUAAAAGCUUUUCAUCUGAUGAGUCUGAAUUUAAAACUCUUUGUCUUGGCAACAAGAUUUAUUUGGAGGAGGGAUUGUGAAUUUUACAAUGCUGAAUGCCUACAGCCAACAGUGUAGCUCACAGAUCUGAGAACA